rnacentral:tRNA from 15 species
GCGCCCUUAGCUCAGUUGGAUAGAGUGACAGGCUUCGAACCUGGAGGUCGUGGGUUCAAAUCCUACAGGGCGCACCA